rnacentral:rRNA from 1 species
GAUGAACGCUGGCGGCGUGCCUAAUACAUGCAAGUCGAGCGAACGGACGAGAAGCUUGCUUCUCUGAUGUUAGCGGCGGACGGGUGAGUAACACGUGGAUAACCUACCUAUAAGACUGGGAUCACUUCGGGAAACCGGAGCUAAUACCGGAUCAUAUUUUGAACCGCAUGGUUCAAAAGUGAAAGCCGGUCUUGCUGUCACUUAUAGAUGGAUCCGCGCUGCAUUAGCUAGUUGGUAAGGUAACGACUUACCAAGGCAACGAUGCAUAGCCGACCUGAGAGGGUGAUCGGCCACACUGGAACUGAGACACGGUCCAGACUCCUACGGGAGGCAGCAGUAGGGAAUCUUCCGCAAUGGGCGAAAGCCUGACGGAGCAACGCCGCGUGAGUGAUGAAGGUCUUCGGAUCGUAAAACUCUGUUAGUAGGGAAGAACAUAUGUGUAAGUAACUGUGCACAUCUUGACGGUACCUAAUCAGAAAGCCACGGCUAACUACGUG